AGCUGUUUAAAGAGCAAACCGCGCAUGAGUUAGGCCGCUUGGCCCUCCCAUUCAGACCCCUCAGGCCGCCUGUGGACAGCCUGGCUCACCCUCUAAGAGCCUUCCUGCCCGCCCUGGGAACACACACCGCAGGGUCCAGGGACUGGCGUCAGGAGCAGAGCGAACUCAGCGCCACCUGGGCUCCAGGCCAGGCUCUGCUCCAGGACUGGCCCCUCCCCGAUUCCCAUCCCUGAAGCCAGGGCCACUGGGGUUAUAGUGAACCGCUUCUGAGGACACGUGCAGCUAAGGGCCACUACCCCUAAAGAGGCAACACUUGUAAAGCAUCCAUGGAGUAAAACAAGUCUGCACAUCUCAACAACUCAAGGGCACUAAGCAAAGACCAUGGAGCUGCAGCAACAGGAUGCUAUUCAGACUGUUAUGUGAGCUCACUUCACCCACUCCAUUCCUACAGCUACAGAGUUCCCCGUGGAAGUCUCAGUUGCACACCAGAGAGGCAUCUGGGGGAAAAUGUUCCACCUGGUCUCAUUUCAACCCAUGGUAAGGAGUUUGGACCACGUGAAUUCCAGGUCUCACUCAGCUCUGAAAACAUACAAAAAUGGCAAAGGGCAACUAUCUCUACCACAUAAAGAAUACAUCCAAGUGCCUCAGGUCAACAUCAACAUCCCAAGAAGUAAAUGGACAGUUCACACAUACAAUUAGAAGAUGCUCU
rnacentral:lncRNA from 1 species